UUGGAGGGCAAGUCUGGUGCCAGCAGCCGCGGUAAUUCCAGCUCCAAUAGCGUAUAUUAAAGUUGUUGCAGUUAAAAAGCUCGUAGUUGAAUUUCGGGGUCAGUAGAUUGGUCAUGCCACUGGUAUGUACUGGUCUCACUGAUUCCUCCUUCCUGAUGAGCCGUAAUGCCAUUAAUUUGGUGUUGCGAGGAAUCUGGACUGUUACUUUGAAAAAAUUAGAGUGUUUAAAGCAGGCUAACGCUUGAAUACAUUAGCAUGGAAUAAUGAAAUAGGACGUUCGAUCUUAUUUUGUUGGUUUCUAAGAUUGACGUAAUGAUUAAUAGGGAUAGUUGGGGGCAUUAGUAUUCAAUUGUCAGAGGUGAAAUUCUUGGAUUUAUUGAAGACUAACUACUGCGAAAGCAUUUGCCAAGGAUGUUUUCAUUAAUCAAGAACGAAAGUUAGGGGAUCGAAGACGAUCAGAUACCGUCGUAGUCUUAACCAUAAACUAUGCCGACUAGGGAUCGGAUGAUGUUAAUUUUUUAAUGACUCAUUCGGCACCUUACGGGAAAC
rnacentral:rRNA from 1 species